rnacentral:lncRNA from 1 species
CAUUUUAAAUAGGAAGUUUCAAUAGAUCUGAAUUCUCCCUCUAGUUCUCCCUCAUGAUGUUUACAUUUACCUUUUUUUUUUUUUUUUUAUUUUAUUGCAGCCAGUCUUCGGAAAACAAAUGCCAGUCUUCGGAAAACAAAUGGAGAACUUCAGGAUGAAAACGGAAGCUUUCUUUUCCUGGGCCCUCCACCACGACAUCUAGAUGCAGUGCUCGCUGUGUUGUAUUUGACAUUGUCCCGGUUGUUACUGGAAUGGUUCCGAUUCCAACCCUGGUUGCAGG